AUGAACGCUAGCUACAGGCUUAACACAUGCAAGUCGAGGGGCAGCAUGGUCUUAGCUUGCUAAGGCUGAUGGCGACCGGCGCACGGGUGAGUAACACGUAUCCAACCUGCCGUCUACUCUUGGCCAGCCUUCUGAAAGGAAGAUUAAUCCAGGAUGGGAUCAUGAGUUCACAUGUCCGCAUGAUUAAAGGUAUUUUCCGGUAGACGAUGGGGAUGCGUUCCAUUAGAUAGUAGGCGGGGUAACGGCCCACCUAGUCAACGAUGGAUAGGGGUUCUGAGAGGAAGGUCCCCCACAUUGGAACUGAGACACGGUCCAAACUCCUACGGGAGGCAGCAGUGAGGAAUAUUGGUCAAUGGGCGAUGGCCUGAACCAGCCAAGUAGCGUGAAGGAUGACUGCCCUAUGGGUUGUAAACUUCUUUUAUAAAGGAAUAAAGUCGGGUAUGCAUACCCGUUUGCAUGUACUUUAUGAAUAAGGAUCGGCUAACUCCGUGCCAGCAGCCGCGGUAAUACGGAGGAUCCGAGCGUUAUCCGGAUUUAUUGGGUUUAAAGGGAGCGUAGAUGGAUGUUUAAGUCAGUUGUGAAAGUUUGCGGCUCAACCGUAAAAUUGCAGUUGAUACUGGAUGUCUUGAGUGCAGUUGAGGCAGGCGGAAUUCGUGGUGUAGCGGUGAAAUGCUUAGAUAUCACGAAGAACUCCGAUUGCGAAGGCAGCCUGCUAAGCUGCAACUGACAUUGAGGCUCGAAAGUGUGGGUAUCAAACAGGAUUAGAUACCCUGGUAGUCCACACGGUAAACGAUGAAUACUCGCUGUUUGCGAUAUACGGCAAGCGGCCAAGCGAAAGCGUUAAGUAUUCCACCUGGGGAGUACGCCGGCAACGGUGAAACUCAAAGGAAUUGACGGGGGCCCGCACAAGCGGUGGAGUAUGUGGUUUAAUUCGACGCAACGCGAAGAACCUUACCAAGUCUUGACAUCCCUUGACGAACAUAGAAAUAUGUUUUCUCUUCGGAGCAAGGAGACAGGUGGUGCAUGGUUGUCGUCAGCUCGUGUCGUGAGAUGUUGGGUUAAGUCCCGCAACGAGCGCAACCCUUAUUGCCAGUUACUACGUUAAGAGGACUCUGGCGAGACUGCCGUUGACAAAACGGAGGAAGGUGGGGAUGACGUCAAAUCAGCACGGCCCUUACGUCCGGGGCUACACACGUGUUACAAUGGGGGGUACAGAGGGCCGCUACCACGCGAGUGGAUGCCAAUCCCUAAAACCCCUCUCAGUUCGGACUGGAGUCUGCAACCCGACUCCACGAAGCUGGAUUCGCUAGUAAUCGCGCAUCAGCCACGGCGCGGUGAAUACGUUCCCGGGCCUUGUACACACCGCCCGUCAAGCCAUGGGAGCCGGGGGUACCUGAAGUGCGUAACCGCGAGGAUCGCCCUAGGGUAAAACUGGUGACUGGGGCU
rnacentral:rRNA from 1 species